GGUAGGUCACAAGUGUUGGAUAUAUUUGCACAGUCUUCAUAGCUUUACAGCUCUUUGGAUAUUUUAUGGAGUCCACAUAUUCAUUGAGAAAUCAGGAUUAUUCACCGCGAUUAGGAGGCAGCGAGGAUGACGGGACACGAUAGGGGUGAAAGGUCAAAGGUCAACAGCUCAAGCGACAAAAAAAAACAAUAAAAAAAAAAGAAAACAAACAAACACGAACAACAAACGGAUAGUGAGCACACGAUGCUGCUCCUCGCUCAAAGCAAUGUACUGAAACUGAAUAGAAAGUUACACCGAGCGGAGCGGAACCUGUUCAAUACUCUCACCUGUCGCACACGCGCGCACCGCGGACGCGUUUUGAAGACGACGACGACGCCGGAUGCUCGAUGCUAACACCGGAACACCGCCGCGACACACUCCUGCCUCACCGGCACAACGUGUGCGGCUCCACCGCGAGUGUGGCGUCCUGCAACUCCGAUGAUCGGGUGAGUCUGCUCCUAUUGUGAAUGUGAGGAGACAUCAGCUGGAGAAGGAGGAGCCAUUUGUUCUGUGGUUUCCAGGAAAAACGCUGAGGUUCUCAGGGAGACAGGAGCUGGUCGCACAGUGUCGCCUCAUGACUAAAGGCUUCGCCCGGAGGAGUUGCCAAAGGAGCUGUUACUGCCACGGGAGAGAGGAAAAAGAGAAACUAAAGUCUCAGAGUGAAUUCUCACCAGCAGAGAGAACCAGCAGCGAGAUGCACGGUAGAGGAGAGAGCCGCUGGGCCAUGCAGGGGUUAGGCCUGCUAAUCCUCACAUAUAUAUUCUCCUAAUUAAUCCUGAUUACCACUUUUUAAUCGGCCUGCUCAGGCUGGCCUGGAAUAAAGUGACACUUCCUAAUGAAUUAAACCUGCAAUUUACAA